rnacentral:lncRNA from 1 species
AGCCCUGCGCUUCCCCAGGUGAACCGGGCAGGAGCCUGUUGGGAAGGCAGCGACCCACAUCUGUGUGCACCUUUGUGGAUUUCAGGUUCCGGACGCAGGCGACCAAGCCAGAGCCAGCGCUGUCAUACGCAGAGCACCUGCCGAGCCAUGUGACGUGCUGCUCUCUGCCAGCCCUGAUCGCCUUCCUUUCCAGCAGGACUUGCGCUUCACACUGGACCUUGAGGCCCCAUGGAGAUCUGCCAUUUUGGGCAGGUUCUGCUCACAGUGCCAGUAACUUCACCUAGGAGAAGAGCGACAACUUCAAGGCCGCAUGACCCAUCUGAUUGUCAUCACACAGGUCCCCGCAGGAGAAUUUCCAUGGCGUUUCUCACUCUUUGUUUGCAAAGAAUUUCUUUUUUUAUCGUUUUCUUUUUCUUUUUCUAUUUUCUUUUUUCUUUUUUUUUUGAGACAGAGUCUCUCUCUGUUGCCCAGGCUGGAGUGCAGUGGCAUGACCUCGGCUCACUGCAACCUCGGCCUCCUG